rnacentral:misc_RNA from 1 species
GCUUUGUUUGAUAAAGCAUCAUGGUAUACUUUAUAUCGCCAACAAAGGUGCUGAGACUACUGUGUUCCUCAUGGAAGCCUGUGAUGUUUCGCAUUUAAGUGACAAAUGUACAUUAUUUUUGUUGAGAGAUAAAUUUGCAGCACUUAGUGUUCGUAGGGAGAUCAAUUUGUGCAAUUCGACAACUUCUUUGACUUUUUUCAUUUCAUAUUAUGAUUU